rnacentral:lncRNA from 1 species
CUGAGAUCAGGAGUUUGAGGCCAGCCUGGCCAACAUGGCGAAACCCUGUCUCUAGUAAAAAUACAAAAAUUAGCUGAAUGUAGUGGCAGGCACCUAUAAUCCCAACUACUUGGAAGGCUGAGGCAGAAGAAUUGUUUGAACUUGGGAGGCGGAGGUUGCAGUGAGCCGAGAUUGUGCCACUUCAUUCCAGCCUGAGGGAAAGAGUGAAACUCCAUCUCAAAAAAAAAAGAAAGAAAGAAAGAAAGAAAAUAGCAUUACAAAACUGAAGAGAUUACAAUACUGGUCUCACCAUCAUUUUUAUUACUCUACUCCCUCCUUUCCUAGCUGACACUCGCUCCCCAUCCAUGUCUAUUCAUCUAAAAAUCCUGAUGUCCCCUGGCUGUUGGCCUCCAGGCUGCUGGAUUUGGUCCCUUCUAUGACAACUUUACUGACAGACACCAGCCUUCUAACUACACAGAAGUCCUGCUGCACUUCAUAAGAUGAUGGAGUGAAUGUAUUCCUGUAGAACAUUAUUUGCACAGUUCCCUCUCUCGGUUCUUGCUCUAGGGGAUGCAGAUGCCACACUAUGAGCUUCAUGGGGCAAGGAACUAAUGUCUCCUGCCAACAGUAAGGACUGAAGGCCUCCAACAACCAUGUUAAUGAACUUGGAAGCAGCUCCUGCCCCAAUCCAACCUUGAGAUGAAUGCAGCCCAGGAGUACCUUGAUUGAGCCUGUGGGAGACCAUGAGCCAGAGGCAUCCAGCUAAG